CUUCUGAUUCUGGCACUACUGAAGAUAAUUUAACAAGUGCUUGGCACUACUGCUGGUUUAAGAUACUCCAGUUUUUCUGUUGACCACUGUUUCUUCCCUACCCUAUACAAUGGGGCUCCUUUAGUUAUGCUGGCACAAAUUUGGUUUUUACUGCACUCU